CCUACGGGAGGCAGCAGUGAGGAAUAUUGGUCAAUGGCCGGAAGGCUGAACCAGCCAAGCCGCGUGAAGGACGAAGGUGCCAAGCAUUGUAAACUUCUUUUGUCAAGGGACAAAAUCAGGCUCGAGAGCCUGACCGAGGGUACUUGAAGAAAAAGCAUCGGCUAACUCCGUGCCAGCAGCCGCGGUAAUACGGAGGAUGCGAGCGUUAUCCGGAUUUAUUGGGUUUAAAGGGUGCGUAGGCGGACUGUUAAGUCAGCGGUAAAAGCCCGGGGCUCAACCCGGGCGAGCCGUUGAAACUGGCGGUCUUGAGAUGUCGAGAGGUAUGCGGAAUGCGCAGUGUAGCGGUGAAAUGCUUAGAUAUUGCGCAGAACUCCGAUUGCGAAGGCAGCAUACCGGCGGCGAUCUGACGCUGAGGCACGAAAGCGUGGGUAUCGAACAGGAUUAGAUACCCCAGUAGUC
rnacentral:rRNA from 1 species